rnacentral:ncRNA from 1 species
AUUGGUUCACCACAGGUGAUUAAAUGGGAACAGAGUGCGAUUCUCUGACAGUCCCGCUGCUGUGAUUUGCCUUUAUGAGUCAGAACACUACGUCACUGACAGACAAUGUUCGGGAAGACGUUCUGCCUCGGCAAUAGUCAGAAGACCUGCCGU